rnacentral:rRNA from 1 species
UACGGGGGGGGCAAGCGUUGUUCGGAAUUACUGGGCGUAAAGGGCUCGUAGGCGGCCAACUAAGUCAGACGUGAAAUCCCUCGGCUUAACCGGGGAACUGCGCCUGAUACUGGAUGGCUUGAGAUUGGGAGAGGGAUGCGGAAUUCCAGGUGUAGCGGUGAAAUGCGUAGAUAUCUGGAGGAACACCGGUGGCGAAGGCGGCAUCCUGGACCAACACUGACGCUGAGGAGCGAAAGCCAGGGGAGCAAACGGG